CUGGGAUUACAGGAGUGAGCCAUUAUGCCCGGCCAAGUCAGGGCUUUUAUAGCUAAGAUGCCUACUACCUAAAACAUUUAAGCAACUUGGCCUCCUGCAAAGAAGGAUGGUGAGAAGAAUGGCCAUUAUGCCAUCAACUAGGUGGUGACCCAAGAGUACACCAUUAAUAUUCACAAGUGUAUCCAUGGAGUGGGCUUCAAGAAGUGUGCCCCUCAGGCUCUUAAAGAGACCGGAAAUUUGCAAUGAAGGAGAUAGAAAACUCCAGAUAUGUGUAUUGAUACCAGGCUCAACAAAGCUGUCUGGGCCAAAGUAGUAAGGAAUGUCCAUACUGUGUCCAUGUGCAGUGGAUGGUCCAGAAAACAUAAUGAGGUUAGAAAUUCACCAAAUAAGCUCUAUACUUUGGUUAUAUACUUGUUACCACUUUCACAAAUCUACAGUCAGUGUGGAUGGGAACUAACUGCUGAUCAUCAAAUACAUCAA
rnacentral:lncRNA from 1 species